GUCUAUACAGAUAGCAAAUAAAAGUUAUUUGGUGUGUUGCGUCCUAGUUGGUGACCUCUUAAGAAGUUCAUCAAUAUACUGAUCAACAAAUUGUCAAUAUGAGCUUGAUAUUUCAGUAUAGUGUGCGGACAGAAUAUAUUUGAGCCCUUAGGUAUUAAACCGAUAAACCGCCCAUUAGCCGCCCGAUAAGAGCUAACCCGAUACCAAUCCGCCCGAUAUCUUAUCGGGUGGCUAACGGAUGAAUACAUUUAAAAACCGAUAACCGAUUAGCCAAACCGUUAAAGUAAAAAGCCGCUCAAUCCGCCCAAUGAACACCCCUAUCCUGCUGGGUUCAACCAGCGCAAAUUGUCUGGUUCUAAUUUCAAACCUAGAGUCAACUUUGAGCAAAAUAGAGGAAACUUAUUCUGCAGAUAUUGCAAGAAGUCUGGACAC
rnacentral:lncRNA from 1 species